UCCGUGGGUGACCUCAGCCCUUUACCAUUGGAGAGUGCUGCCGGCAGUAGGUGAUGAGGAUUCAAUGUGACUUUUAAAUGGAGCUGGGGUUCCACGGGUGCAGGAGCUUGAGGUGGUGGUGUCACUUCAUCAUUUGCUGUGGACACGUUUGUGUGUGCAGUGAGUGUGUCGGGUGUGUGUGUG